UCUCGUGUGUUCUGGUCGUCCUCUUCAUUUGUCUGUUUUAUCUUCUCCUUCCGUCUCCUCGUGGUUCGUGUCUGCCGUUGUUUCCUCCUCAUUCUCUGUCAGAUCAGGGUCAUCAGUAAACAGAAUAUAGAAUCAGAUUUCUUCAUCAUAGUAGACGUUACAAAAGUUAAUCAUAAAUAGGGAACUGACCCUUGAAACAUAAAUCAUGCUAAAGGGUAACUUACUGAGGGAAACAGGCUCACUUGUAUAGUUUUUGUCAUAAAGUACAAUAGAUCUUACUCAGAAGUUAAAAUUGAUUACAUUUCUCCUAUCUGGAUAAUUGCAUUUUAUGCCUGUAUGCAAUUAUUUGUAUAUAUGGUAAAUACAGAAUACAAAACAAUGACAAAGCGUCAUAUUCUCGAGUAAAUCCAUGGAAAUGCAAAGACACAGGAAUAGUCACUUAACUUUAUGGUAGUUAAGCAUUUACAGUAAAUUAACCUGUCAAAUGUUGCGACAUUUUUAUCAAGUAGUCAAAUCUUAAAUGAUAAUUACAUUGAUGAAUCUCUACAUGAAUAACUGAAUACACAAAUUACAGCGGCCUUUCCUGUUUACUUAUGAUUUUAUUUAUGCUUUAUGUUUGUUUACAGUUCAGCUCUCAGUUGCACCAACACGAUAAAUACAGGUAACUAUAUACCUUAGGUUGAAUACUCAAUCUAUGUAUAUAUAGAUCUACAUAUCUACAUAUAUGACGCUGGAAAAGGGCAGGGCUAACGGUUCGGCUAACUCAAUCCUCAAACUAUCAUGUACCAUCAUGACUGAUCUGUCUAAUGUUCACAUAAUUUUGAAGACAUAGAGGAUUUAAAAGACAUGUUUGUUUACCUGUUUCACGUGGUUGUUCAGACACUUGAGAUCCAGGGACUGCAGAAAUGUCUUUCUUUGUCAGAGAAAAAAAACGUCUGAUGUCGUCCAUUUUUCCGUUCAUGUGACGACUCGAAACCCGCUCGGAACACAAUCAGAGUUCAGAUUAGAUAGACACCUGUCAGCCAAAAACACACGGAUGAUUUCCCGCCUCCAUACAUCUCCUCUCUGAUUGGUCAUGGUGUCGUGCCUGUUGCAUUUACUGAAACUGGGAAAUUACAAA